CUGGGAUCUUUCCUUCCCAGAUCAAUAGCACCACAAUGAUUACCCGUGCCUCUUAGUUCCUGGGGAAUGGGUCUGCCUGCUCACUGGAGACAAAUUGGGCUUGAUUCCAGACUGCUCUGCAGUGCCAUUUAUAAGGACCUUAGUCUUACAACUGGCUUUUUGUGUCUUUUCCCCCAAGCAGCCCACAAAUGCCCUGGAUGCUGUUCUUCCUCUAGGGUGGCCCUGGACCACGAGGCAAGCCACAGGAGGAACUCAUGAGGAGGACAUGCUCAGUCUGGCCCUUCUGCAGCCCUUCCGUGUGAUACCAAUGGACCUGUCAAUCAUGCUGCACUUUCUCCAAGCCAUGGGAAUGGUCUUGGCCUGGACUUCAGUGAAGGUGAGAAACAAGCAAGGAGCCCUGCCUUCACUGGGUGAGGGUGUUUACACUUGGCGGUCAAGAGCCUGGCCUCCAUUCCAAGACGGCUCCUGGAAUGGCCCUCGGCCGCUCCAACCCUCGGUGCCAGAGUUCCAGGUGAACGGUACAGCAAAGGUCAUGUCUUCUCCGACAGAGUCAGCACCCACCUGUCCCCUCCUUCCCUUCUGUUCAUUAUGUAAAUGGAGCUGGGAGUCACAGAGACAUAAAACACUGUGGGGGAGGGGAGGAAUGUAGGGGGGAUGUCUCCAGUGCACCUCUCUGCAAUGUGGAAUCCCUCCCAGGGCCCAGCACCAUUGUAAUCAGAACCCUGCCCACCCCCCAUGCUAAAACUUCUCUAAAUAGAAUGACUCAGGGGUCCUGGCAGGAGGGGCCUGGAAGAAGCAGGGACAGUGGCAGUCAUCACCCCAACCACAGCACACUCAAGAGCUGCUGACCCAUCUUUAUCAGGGGCUCCUCCACAUGCUUGGCACUCAACAAGGCUAUUUCCGGAGAAACUCCACCAGACCCAAGAGUCCCAAGGACUGCCUCACAGAGCCCCACAGGCACUGGAAUGCUCUGUGGGCUGCAAGGACUCCACUCUCUCCUGGCUUUAACAUCCAGACAAGGUUGGACAUAGGCAGAUGCUAAUGGAGUGGCCCAGGCCUUCUCAAUGUCAGCAUCUGGAAGGACAUAGCAGGUUAAUCCUACCCCACUCAGCUCCUAGAUGACGAACUGCAUGGCAUUCAGUGGCCUUGCCUGGUAAUCAUGGGACAGAAGGGAGGGUUGGGGAGGAAAAGGCCCCGGAGAAGCGGAUCAAUCCCAAUAAGGCUCCUACCACCUCCAGGACUUCCUUCCACUUCCCCUCGGGUAGGCAGGCCAAGGUUCAGGGAGUCAAGCUUAGUGGGGACACUAGAAGGGACAUGCCCCAUAUCUUGAGCACACAGUAAGAUUUUUUUUCUCAUAGUGUCUGCUCAAUAACUGUGUAAACUAUGCAUUGUUAUUCCCAUUGAAUAGACCAGGAAUUGAGGCCGAGGGGAGAUGUGAUUUGCCCGAGCUAGCUGAUGGCAGAGGUAAGACUCAACUCCAUGAGGGAAUUUCUUCUACACUGAGGGCUGAAAGAGGCUUGAACUCAGUUGAGGAGCCCCAAUGAGUCCAACUUGCCCAGGGAGGUUAUCACCAAUAUAGAUGUCAACUCUGAAUAUCAAAUGCCCAUCAGCCCCCAAAGUGCAAAGAUCUGAAGGGGACUCCCACUGGAGUCUCCUGGGAGGUAAGUUAAGAAUCAGCAACCCCUGCCAGGCUGGCAUCUGCCCCAGGCCAA